CCUCAGUAGAUGCGUGGGCCCUGUGCGCAGUUCCGAACGCGUCGUUCACAUACAGAUCAGCCAAUGAGGCGAGCUUUUGGGCGAAUUCCGGAUCAUUCUUCUCCUCCUCUUUGUAGAACCUCACAUUCUCGAGCAAGAGAACACCACCUUCGGGGAGUGCAGCCACUAACGCUUCGACAUCUGGCCCAAUGCAGUCAUCGGCUUUCACAACCUGAAUCGGUGUUGGUGAAUGUAAGAGAAAUAAAUAGGUACUCGGUCCAAAUUAUAUGUUUCUUAUAUACUUUUUUCACCAUUAACGCAAACAUGUUUAUUUUAUUUUUUUUUAUUCUUAUUUUUACCUGGAUUCCGAGCAGUUCAGAUAGCCUCGGUACGAGAGGUGCGAGGCUGUAUUUUGGAGUCACACCUUUUGGACGACCCUGAAAAACGAAAACCGAAGAAAAAAUUAAUUCAGAAAUCAGACAAAAAUUUAAAAUGAAAAAGCCUAUAGCCAACACACUUCAACAAACUGGAAAGUCGGAAGAAAAGAAUAACGAAAAAUGGUAUGAUCAAAUCAGAUUCAAACACGAAAUGAAAAGAUAAACACCAACAAAGGACGAAUGCAUCAAGGUUAAUUCGAACGCAUCCAAAUUUCAUAAUUGCUCAUAGAACAACGAAUUACAAAGAUUAACCGAAUCCCAGUUAUCGCAUUCUUCAUAAAUUAAACAUACUUCAACAAAUUAGAAACUUCGAAGAACAGAAAAGUUAUACUCGAAAAAAAAAAAAAAAACGGAACUGAAAAUCAAACAAUCACAAGCUGCAAAUACUAAAUCCACAACAAAUGGUAUGAGCAAAUCCACAAAAGAAGAAUGCAAUAAGAUUGAAUCAAAUGCCGGAAUAAAUAAAUUUAGUAGAAAUUGUUCAAAGAUUUAAAAAGAAAUUAAACACUAACCAAGUGACUGGAGAGAAGGACUUUAGCACCAUUGCUUAUCAAGUGUUUGAUGGUUGGAAUGGCGGCUCUGAUCCUGGUGUCAUCGGUGAUAUUCUGGCUGUCAUCGAGGGGUACAUUCAGAUCAGCCCUAACAAAGACCCUUUUGCCCUUGAGCUCGGCGGCGGUGAGGUCACCCACGCUCUUCUUCACCAUCGACGCCACUCCUCUGACGGCGGCGGACGAUCCCCUCUUGAGCGACGCCAUCUUGACUGCCACGUGGCGGGAGAGGAGCGGGUCGGCGGCGGCGGCGGCGAAACCCAGGCCGCGGGUUGGGGUUUUCGAUAGGAAUCGAGUGGUGGGGGUUUUCAGGGAGGCUCUGGCGGCGGUGGCGGUUGAGGCCUUGGGGAUGCCACAGAAGGCCGGCGACGAUGCAGCUGCUGUGGACGCCAUUGCUGAAAUCACUCACUCACUGAAUGUGUGUUUUCUGUGUGUGUGGGAAUGGUGGGGCAAACAACUGUGAGUGAGGGUUUGAAAAAAAAUAGGGAAAUAUGAAUAUAUAAUUUGUGGUGGUGGUGGAGAAUGAGAUAUGAGAGGAUUGCUCUUAUCGUUGAGCUGAGGUUGAAGAUGAUCCAUCAUUUGUCUUUUUUCCCCUUUUUUUUCAUGUUCACUGUGUUUUUAAAUUAGUUUAUUGCAUUUAAGUCCCUCGUGUUAUACCAAAUAGCUAAAAUACCCCUCGUAUUAUAAAUAUUAGCAACACAAACCCCUGCUAAUUCAAGUUUAUUACUAAAUUACCCCUUGAAUGAACUAUUAAAGAGGUUGUUUUAAUGUUUUUCAUACUUGUCUCGUGGUUACAUUUCCCCUUUUUGCCUUUGUAUUUAACAAAGGAGUUUUUUUUUUCUAUUUGUUGAUCUCCUCUUUUCAAUUCCAUAUACGUAACGAAUGAAAUCGAGCCGAACUUAUGAUUGUUCAAACUUGUUUGAACCUUUAUCGAAGUUUUUGAAGUUGUUUAUGAGCUUGAUUUGUUAAAAGAUUGAGUCUAAUUCGAUGGGGCUUUAAUGUAACUGAACACAAAUCGAGCUCGAGUACCUUGAUUUGCACAUAUUUUUCAUUCGAGCUCGAGGCUGAGUUUCAUAACUUAUGGAAUGAAAAUAUGUGUUCAAAUUUGAUUCAUUAUGUUAAUGAACAAAGCUGAAACGACCUUUUAACAAUCAAUCUCGAAUCAAAUUUCAAAGUAUUAAUAAGUUCAUAAAUUAAAUCUGAAUUUCAUGAAUUUCCAACUUAAAAUAUUACAAAUUUGACUGAAUAUAUGAACAUUUAGUUUAUUUUGUUUUAAAAAAUCUAAAUUUAUUUUCUGAGAUUUAUUUCUCAGCUGCAUCACAUUAAUACUACCAUACAAUCACAUUAGGCUGCUACUAGAGCUUGCUGGUAGGAACUCCGUCUGGUUUUGCCCUCGAUCUAUUCUCUACAGAUCGAGAGAAUCUUUUAACGGCAUCUUUUGGCAGAUGACGAGGUUUGCUCAGCCAAAGUCCCCCAUCCACAGGCAGAAUACUCCCGUUUACGUAUUUACCUUUACAUAUAUAAAUAUAUAUAUAAAAAAAUGAUCAAGAAAAGAGAAUAUAAGAAUCAUAAUAGAACUAAAACUAACAUAUAUGAUAUAUAUACAUUGGAACAACAGGAAUUAACCUUUGAAUAAAACUUGUUGAAAGGCAAUUCUAGAAUUUCGACGACAAAAAUAAUAAGCUAGAACCAUUUAUUUCAAAGAAAAAAAACUGUAAUUCCCCUGUUUUACCUCCAAGAAAGCCUAAAGAAAGUUAAUACAAAUUAGAAAAAUACGGGCAAUUUCAAAAUCAGCAAUUGUAUACAUUGGAACUGCAGGGAUUAACCUUUCGAUAAACUUGUAAGGCAAUUCUAGAAUUUUUUGACGACAAAAAUAUUAAGCUAGAACCAUUUAUUUCAAAGGAAAAAAAAAUUGAAAUUUCCCUGUUUUACCUCCAAGAAAGCCUAAAAAAAAGAUUAUUAUAGAUUAGAACGAAAAAAAAAAUAUGAGCAAUUUCAAGAAAACGAACCAGCAUCCGAGGCAAGGUAGACAGCAGCCAUUGCAAUAUCCCACCUAGUUCCCAGUUUAUAGAGAGGCAUAUCUUCUCUCACAUUGUUAUUUAUUUCUUCGGGCACAAGUUUACUCAUGCCAGGUGUGUCUCCAAUGGGACCCGGUGCAAUCCCGUUUACCCUAAUAUCGUAAUCCGUACCCCAUUCCAGUGCUAAAUUUCUUGUCGUAGCAUCAACAGCUGCCUGAAGGGAAAGCGGUAAUAUUGGCCACAAAUAUUUUCUAUAUUUUCAAGAAAAUUUCGAAGUAUUUUUUUUUUUAUGACAAGCGUCAACAUUUUUUACAAACCUUGGCUGCAGAUACAUGGAUUUGGUACCAUGAUGCUGUGUAAUGCAGAGUUGCACUUAUAUUUAGUAUAAACCCCCCACUAGACGAGGUUCUGCCGGGCCCACCUUUUUUAAGGUACGGAAGAGCUUCGUGACACAUAGUGAAUGUGCCAACCGAAUCAAUAUCCAUCACUGCAGAAAGUAAAUAACAAUUAACAAUGUUGUACAUUUAAAUGAGUGAUUCUUGGGCAAAAUAGUAUUGAAGAUGCAAAAAUCAACUAUCCACAAGUCUCGUGUUUUUUCGUGUUCGAGAUAACCAUACUAGAAACCAUAAAAUCGUAAAAAAAACAUUGGAGAAAGAUGCUGACAGCAGAUUUCUUUUAUCAGUAUAUAUAAUUAGAGGUGCUAAAUAUCAUUUCAAUUUUAUUGGUACCGAUCUGACUUCAAAUGUGAUUUUGACCCUUUUCACUUCGAAUUUGGCAAAAACUCAAAGCACCAACUUUGUAGUACUUAAGGUUGGCUUUGUAAUCCAACUUGAAUCAACUAAUUUGGUGUUUCGACAAAAAAGUUAUGCAUAAUCUUUAAAUUACGGUUCCAGUAAAAUUAAAACGACAUUUACAAUUUCAAAUAACAAAUUUCAACAAAAAAAAAAAAAAAUUGUAGCUACACCACAUAUUCACAGACCAAGAAUAAGCCAAUUCUCGACAAAUUCUAAUCAAACAAAUUCGGCAGAAGCUAUAGACAAACCUGUCUUAAAACCAUUAGGAGAAAGAUCCUCAGCCGAAACAAGAAAAUUGCCAGCAGCACCGUUGACAAGAAUGUCGAGCUUUCCGAAAUGCUUCACUGUUGCUUCGACAACUCUCUGUGCAUCUUCUUUUUUACGAACAUCCCCUUCAAAACCGACAGCCUGAGAAAAAAAACCAAAAAAUUGCAGAGAAGAAGAAUAAAAACUACUAAAAUAUUCUAUAAUUCCAGUACAUAAUUAAUUGCAAUUAGAGCUGAAAAAUGAAAUCAAACUACUCAGACACUCAGAAUCAAUUGCAAGCCUUUUAUGUAGUAUACUAGGGUUCCAAAAAUCAGGGAUUAGGGUUUCAAUUUGCAUACAAGUAACAAAAAAAAAUCAAAUCGGUUCGCUGAUUCAUAAUUCAUAGACAGUUAUAAAUUUACAAUCUAAUUAAUUUUUCGAAGAUUGGGGAGA
rnacentral:lncRNA from 1 species